GGGGCUGGGGCUCAGUGGUAGAGCACUUGCCCGACACACAGGAAGCCCUGGGUUCGAUCCUCAGCACCA
rnacentral:tRNA from 1 species